GGGACCCCAAAAACGACCCCAAAAACGACCCUAAAAGGACCCUAAAUGACCCUAAAUGGCCCUAAAUGGCCCCAAAUGGCCCUAAAUGGUCCUAAAUGGUCCUAAAAUGGACCCAAAUGGCCCCAAAAGGGACCCUAAAUGGACCCUAAAUGAACCCAAAGGCACUGCGCCGCCCCAUUCCUGGUGAGGGGACCCCAAAAACGACCCCAAAAACGACCCUAAAAGGACCCUAAAUGACCCUAAAUGGCCCUAAAUGGCCCCAAAAUGGUCCUAAAUGGCCCUAAAAUGGACCCUAAAUGGACCCAAAUGGGGACAAAAUGGACCCUAAAUGAACCCAAAGGCACUGCGCCGCCCCAUUCCUGGUGAGGGGACCCCAAAAACGACCCUAAAAGGACCCUAAAUGACCCUAAAUGGCCCUAAAUGGCCCUAAAUGGUCCUAAAUGGUCCUAAAUGGACCCUAAGUGAACCCAAAUGGCCCCAAAAUGGACCCUAAAUGAACCCAAAGGCACUGCGCCGCCCCAUUCCUGGUGAGGGGACCCCAAAAACGACCCCAAAAACGACCCUAAAAGGACCCUAAAUGACCCUAAAUGGCCCUAAAAUGGCCCUAAAUGGUCCUAAAUGGUCCUAAAAUGGAUCCUAAAUGGACCCGAAUGGGGACAAAAUGGGGACAAAAUGGACCCUAAAUGAACCCAAAGGCACUGCGCCGCCCCAUUCCUGGUGAGGGGACCCCAAAAACGACCCCAAAAACGACCCUAAAAGGACCCUAAAUGACCCUAAAUGGCCCUAAAAUGACCCUAAAUGGCACCAAAUGGCCCUAAAAUGGCCCUAAAUGGUCCUAAAUGGACUCUAAAUGGACCCGAAAUGAACCCAAAGGCACUGCGCCGCCCCAUUCCUGGUGAGGGGACCCCAAAAACGACCCUAAAAGGAUCCUAAAUGACCCUAAAUGGCCCCAAAUGGCCCUAAAUGACCCCAAAUGGCCCCAAAAUGGUCCUAAAUGGCCCCAAAAGGGACCCUAAAACGACCCUAAAUGAACCCAAAGGCACUGCGCCGCCCCAUUCCUGGUGAGGGGACCCCAAAAACGACCCCAAAAACGACCCUAAAAACGACCCUAAAUGACCCUAAAUGGCCCCAAAUGGCCCUAAAUGACCCCAAAUGGCCCCAAAAUGGUCCUAAAUGGCCCCAAAAUGGACCCUAAGUGAACCCAAAUGGCCCCAAAAUGGACCCUAAAUGAACCCAAAGGCACUGCGCCGCCCCAUUCCUGGUGAGGGGACCCCAAAAACGACCCCAAAAACGACCCUAAAAGGACCCUAAAUGGCCCUAAAUGACCCUAAAUGGCCCUAAAUGGCCUUAAAUGGUCCUAAAUGGUCCUAAAAUGGACCCUAAAUGGACCCAAAUAGCCCCAAAAGGGACCCUAAAUGGACCCUAAAUGAACCCAAAGGCACUGCGCCGCCCCAUUCCUGGUGAGGGGACCCCAAAAUCGACCCCAAAAACGACCCUAAAAGGACCCUAAAUGACCCUAAAUGGCCCCAAAUGGCCCUAAAUGGUUCUAAAUGACCCUAAAUGGCCCUAAAAUGGACC
ensembl:lncRNA